rnacentral:hammerhead_ribozyme from 1 species
AUCCAGCUGACGAUUCUCAUAUAGGACGAAACGCGCGUCAAACUGGAU